AUUGAACGCUGGCGGCAGGCCUAACACAUGCAAGUCGAACGAGUGGCGGACGGGUGAGUAAUGUCUGGGAAACUGCCUGAUGGGGGGGGAUAACUACUGGAAACGGUAGCUACUACCGCAUACCAUCAGAUGUGCCCAGAUGGGAUUAGCUUGUUUGUGGGGUAACGGCUCACCAAGGCGACGAUCCCUAGCUGGUCUGAGAGGAUGACCCGGCACACUGGAACUGAGACACGGUCCAGGCCCCUACGGGGGGUAGCAGUGGGGAAUUGUGCCCAAUGGGCGCAAGGCCGAUGGAGCCAUUCCGGGGGUAUGAAGAAGGCCUUCGGGUUGUAAAGUACUUUCAGCGGGGAGGCGUUACCCGCAGAAGAAGCACCGGCUAACGCCGUGCCAGCAGCGCGGUAAUAC
rnacentral:rRNA from 1 species